UUCGUUUCUCCUCAGAAUCCUCCAUACUAUCAGAACUGCGACAACUACUAACAGGUCCCAAUGACAAUAAAUUUUCAAUUCGUUCAAGGAGAUGCUUCUCAGUCAUAGAAACAUCGGCAGCACCAACUUCCUGAUAAGGUCCAAAUCUGUAUUCGAAUUCUCUGACUUCACUACAAGCCAAUCUAUUAGAACAUGUCACGUAAAAAGGGAGUACUCCUGGUUUGUGUGGGGGAGCAUGACAACGAAGCACCCCAUCUGCUAAAACCUCUGCAGGAACCUCUACUUCCCCAAACAUACAUGACCACUUGUACUCUACCAGCUCGCCUUCACUCUUAAGAAAUCUUCCAGUAAUUAAUACUUUCGUUUCCAAAUUUGAAUAAGCCCAAUUAGGUGAAAAAUCAAUAAUGCUGAAAACCUGCUCCUGGGAGAGUGAGAGAUUCAGUGAAUCUGAAUCCACAUGCAACUGGCUUGGCAGACAGGAACCUUCUUCCUCAGUAUCUAUAACAUUCCAUGACAUUUGAUUACUUGGCUGCAUAUGCAACUCCUCAACAUCCUCAAGCUCUUUUGCAACCCAUCGGGAGAAGCUGUCAACUUUUUUCAAGCCUUCUUCCACUUUUACACUGCUCAAAUGAGGCUGUUUGAUCGUCGAAUAGUCUCCAAGCUCUAGCAUAUCCAUAGAAUUUUCUUGAUUGAUGUCACCUUGAACUUCCACGAGUGACUUCAGAAAUUGAAGAUUCAGUUGUGCUAGUUGCUCUUCUUUCUCAUUAGAAUACAAGUAUGAUGGCCCCCUAACGGUAAGUAGAUCCGAAGGUAGUCCCAAAUCAUAGCUCGAAUCUGCAAUCAAAUCCUGAUUGACAUUUUGUCCAUGAAACUGCAAGGGAGAUUGUCCAAAAGAAUACUGCCAAUUUCCAUGGACUGACAAAUUGUUCUUGAAAUCAUCUUGGCAUACCAUCUCACCAUUUAAACAAUGCUGAGGAAGUGGUUCCCAAGAUCCCAAAUCAAUUGUUCUUUGAGGACCAGAUGCAAAAUUACCAAGAUCACACUUUCCCGAUCCAUCUAUACCAG
rnacentral:misc_RNA from 1 species